rnacentral:lncRNA from 1 species
CUGGUAAGAAACUGAAUGCCUUUCUCCUGAGAUCAGGAACACAACAAGGAUAUCCUUUCUUGCCACUUCCAUUCAACAUUGCAGUGAAGGUCAUACAAUUCCAGGUUGCUCACAGACCCCCUCUAGGAGAUGUUACUGUCGCUCAUUCGUAUUUCCGGUUCUACUCCUCUUCCGGGCACACUGGAGAAUUACACUUCCUUGCUGACUUGAGAUAAGUCACAGCUUUGGCCAAUGAAGUGUGAAUGGAAGUUUUCAGAACCUUUAAGAGCCUGUACGCAAUUUGCCAUGCUUUCUCUUUUUGCUUUGUCACCAAAACCUCUGUGUUCCAGAUAGUGACUACUCUGUCUGCGUGGGUCCUGGAGAGAGGAGGAUGCAGAGCACAGCACUUAGCCAACCUGCAAUGGACACGUAGAAAACCUCAAGAAAGGCUCUGGCCUAGACUUGCCCCUUGUUCCUGUCUUCUGGCUCUUGACUGACACUGGUGCUUUCCCCCUGUGGUCCUGCAUGGUGUGUGGUGACUACCUCAUUGGGCCCUAAAACUUCUAAAAUCAUCAGGAGAUAUCACUGAAAAGGUUUCAAAACAAAGCCAUAAUCUCUAGAAAUGUGUCCUUGAUGGGUUGGUCUUCAUUUGCCUGAAGCUCCACCACCAGAUAAGCACAACUGAGCGAAUGACACCAACCAGUGCCAAGAGAAGCAGGACUACCCAACUACACUUUGCCUAAAUUCCUGAUUCACAGAAUUAUAAGCAAAUAAAAUGAUUGUUUAAAGCACUAAGUUUUGGGUUCAUUUGUUAUGCGGCAAUAAAGAAUCAAAACACCUGGAACCCAGUUCCCUUCUCUUUUAUUACCCACAUGGUCUCUCUCCUGUAGUGUCGCUGUUUUUCCUGACUAGCUUUCUCAUCCUGCUGUUACACCCUUACUAGGAAUUUCUCUCAGCAAUAUCCAGUUAAAAUUCCGGAAGGGAAUAGGCUGGUUGGCUUUGCUCAUUGUCUCACUUUUCUUGGGCAGAACCUUUUGUACCAAUCCAUUUCAUCAGCAUUUUUAUGGGUGAAUCUUAGUUGACCAGGUACCGACUCUCGUCAAAUUACUGUCUGACUCUACACAAGAAAUAUACAAAGAGCCUGGUGCUGCUUUCCUGAGCAGGACAGUUCAUAGGGACAUUGAGCAUGGUUGGCAUCUAACCUGGUUAUUCUGAAGAUUUCAUGAUUAAAUCCUCAGUCCUAUGAAUUAACCAAUUGUCCAGUGUUAAAAUACAGACACCCCCUGCACACAUGAAACUGCUCAUCAAUUGUUUAAACUUUAACAUAUGUAAAAGGUGUCCAGUAGGAGCUAGCUGAAUCUGAGCAUUAAUGCUGGAAAAGGAGGAGGAGGCCUGAGAUCUUUGGCUGCUUGGUAGAGUAAAGGUGGUAGAAAGAAGUCAACAAGAACUUAAAGGAAAGAUCAAAGGACAGUGAAAGAACAUUUUUCCUAGUUUUGCCUAGAGCAGGCUUUUGAUUAAAGGUAGAGUGCUGACUCUCUAAAGAUAGAUAUCUAAAAGGAUUCUUCUAGAUACAUGAGAGCACAGGAAAGAUUGUGCAAGGGCAUAAAUAUGAGCAUACUAUAGUGAUUAAGACCAUGUGACAUUAAAGGAAGAGGAAGAUGGAAAAAAAGGUACAUGAAGAAUAUAAACAAGAGGUUGGUGCCUAGAAAAAGAGGAAGAUAGUAGAAAGUUUGGGAAGUAUAGAAAGUAUAAGAUCCUUUAGGAGUUGUUCUUUAUAUACUACUAUUUGCUAAACUUCAAUGUUUAAAAUUCAGCAUUUGUAGAGCAAGCGUAGGUAUACAGCUAUUAUUAAAUUCUAAUAUGUAAUGGUCUGUAUACUUCCAGAAGCUUUCAGAGUUUUGAAUUGAUAUUCCAUUAUAAAUUUUUUAGGAAUUCACCAUUUGUAAUGCACAUGUCUAGUGAUAAUUCUUUCCCUCAGCCCCACCCCCCAGAUCUUUAUAUGUCUGGUAAUUUCUCAUCAUUCAGGCUUUCGUUGAAACGGAAAUGCCUCAGAAAGCCUUUUGCUUUCUUAACCAUCCUUGGCAAGAAGAAUUCCAUGAUGGACCCUCCAGGUUCCUAGCCUUGAUAUACACACAUCUCUCAGUUAUUCAGUAAAACACACUAAUGUAGCUAUUGCUGUAAAGGAAGUAUGGAGAUGAAAUCAAGGUCCCAAAUCUAUUGACCUUUAAAUAAAGAGAUUAACCGGGUGGAACUGACCAAGUCAUAUGAGCCCUUUAAAAUAAAUUUUCUCAACCACAGUGAGAUACGACCUCAUAGCUGUUACAACGGCUAUAUCAAAGAGACAAGAGAGGCUGGGCAUGGUGGCUCACGCCUAUAAUCCCUGCACUUUGGGAGGCAGAGGAGGGUGGGUUACUUGAGGUCAGGUGUUUGAGACCAGCCUGGCCAACAGGCUGAAAGCCCGUCUCUACUAAAAAUACAAAAAUUAACCUGGCAUGGUGGAGGGCAUCUGUAAUCCCAGCAACUCAGCUGAGGCAGAAUAAUUGCUUAAACCCAAGAGAUGGAUGUUGCAGUGAGCCAAAACCACACCACAGCCCUUCAGCCUGGGCAACAGAGUGAGACUCCAUCUUAAAAAAAAAAAAAACAAGAGAUAACAAGUUCAGCUAAUUUAAUGUAUAGCAUGCCAAUUAUAAUUAAUAACAAUGUAACAUACACUUGGAAAUUGCUAAAAGAGUCGAUUUCAAUGUCCUCACCCCAAACAAAUAAUAUGUGAGGUAGUAGAUAUGUUAAUUAGCUUGAUUUUGUCAUUUCACAAUGUGUACAUAUAUCAAAAUAUAUUGUACACCAUAAAUAUAUACAAUUUUUAUUUAUUCAUUUAAAAAUAAGUAAAAAUAAAAAUGGGGCUUAUACUUUAAGAAAUUGAUUUUGGCCAGGCACAGUGGCUCACGCCUGUAAUCCCAGCACUUUGGGAGGCCGAGGUGGGUGGAUCACCUGAGGUCUGGAGUUCGAGACCAGCUUAGCCAACAUGGUGAAACCCCAUCUCUGAUGAAAAUAUAAAAAAUGAGCUGGGUGUGGUGGAAGGCUCCUAUAAUCCCAGCUACCUGAGAGGCUGAGGCAGGAGAAUCACUUGAAGCGGGGUGGUGGAGGUUGCAGUGAGUCGAGAUCGCAUCAUUGCACGCCAGCCUGGGCAACAGGAGCAAAACUCUGCUCAAAAAAAGAAAAAAGAAAAAAGAAAAAAAAAAACUUGAUUUUAUCUGGCUGUUUGAAGAAGUCAGAGAUGUGAAGUUUGUGACGGUUAUCACAUGCCAUUGCUGACAAAGAUGGAGGAAUUCAAGGAAUGUGGCAGGCUACUGGAGCCCAGGGUAGCCCUUGGCUAACAGCCAGCAAGGAGCAAGGAUCUCAGUCCUACAACUACAAGGAACUGGAUUCUGCCAGUAACAGCAAUGAGCUUGGAAGCAGAGUUUUUAUUUCAGCCUUGUGAGACCCUGAGCAGAGAACCCAGCAAUACCAUGCCAGACUUCUGAUCUACAAAGCAGUAUAUAAUAAAUGAGUGUUUUUUAAAUGGCUGAGUUCAUGAUAAUUUGUUACAUAGCAACAGAAAACUAAUUUACCAUCCUAAUCUAAAAUAAGACCCCAUAAUCACACUCCAGUCAUUAUUAUACAUUAGUUUGUUUUUCUUUCUUCAAAAAUAUAUAUAAUAAUUUAUGUAUUAUAUAUAAAACAUAAAAUUAAUAUUUAUUUGCUUGCUUGCUUGCUAAAUAUCUCUUCCCUAAUAUUAUAUUAGACAAUAAGCUUAGUGAGGGAACGUAAAAGGUACCCAAUCAAUAUUUACUUAAAAAAAGAUAAAUGCCUACAUUUAAACAAAUAUUUUUCAAAAAAAGGUUAAUCAAAUCUCAGAGAUACCAUCCCCCCCAAAAAAUUUUUUAAAUAUGUCUUCUAGGCCAGGCGCAGUGGCUCACACCUGUAAUCCCAGCACUUGGGGAGGCUGAGGUGGAAGGACUGCCUGAGUCCAGGAGUUCAAGACCAACCUAGGCAACAUGUUGAGACUCCAUCUCAUAAAAUAAAUUUGUUUUUUAAAGUGUCUUCUGGCCGGGCGCGGUGGCUUACGCCUGUAAUCCCAGCACUUUGGGAGGCCGAGGCGGGCG